rnacentral:rRNA from 1 species
UGCAGUCGAGCGGCAGCGCGGGGGCAACCCUGGCGGCGAGCGGCGGACGGGUGAGGAAUGCGUCGGAAUCUGCCUCUUUGUGGGGGAUAACGUAGGGAAACUUACGCUAAUACCGCAUACGACCUACGGGUGAAAGUGGGGGACCGCAAGGCCUCACGCAGAGAGAUGAGCCGACGCCGGAUUAGCUAGUUGGCGGGGUAAAGGCCCACCAAGGCGACGAUCCGUAGCUGGUCUGAGAGGAUGAUCAGCCACACUGGAACUGAGACACGGUCCAGACUCCUACGGGAGGCAGCAGUGGGGAAUAUUGGACAAUGGGCGCAAGCCUGAUCCAGCCAUGCCGCGUGUGUGAAGAAGGCCUUCGGGUUGUAAAGCACUUUUGUCCGGAAAGAAAUCCUUCGAGUUAAUACCUCGGAGGGAUGACGGUACCGGAAGAAUAAGCACCGGCUAACUUCGUGCCAGCAGCCGCGGUAAUACGAAGGGUGCAAGCGUUACUCGGAAUUACUGGGCGUAAAGCGUGCGUAGGUGGUUCGUUAAGUCUGAUGUGAAAGCCCUGGGCUCAACCUGGGAAUGGCAUUGGAUACUGGCGACCUAGAGUGCGGUAGAGGGGUGCGGAAUUCCCGGUGUAGCAGUGAAAUGCGUAGAUAUCGGGAGGAACAUCCGUGGCGAAGGCGGCACCCUGGACCAGCACUGACACU